GUUAUGUUGGCAGAUUAGUGCGUUAGAUUUAGAAUCUUUUUAAGUAAAUUGUGUUUACAUAUAAUA
rnacentral:tRNA from 1 species